rnacentral:tRNA from 1 species
GGCCAGAUAGCUCAGUGGUUUGAGCGCAGGGCUGGCAACAAGGAUCAACAGCGAUGUCGCGGGUUUGAUUCCCGCUCGGUCCC